rnacentral:rRNA from 1 species
UACGUAGGGGGCAAGCGUUGUCCGGAUUUAUUGGGCGUAAAGAGCUCGUAGGCGGCUUAGCAAGUCGGGUGUGAAAACUUCAGGCUCAACCUGGAGAUUGCACUCGAUACUGCUAUGGCUAGAGUCCGGUAGGGGACCACGGAAUUCCUGGUGGUAGCGGUGAAAUGCGCAGAUAAUCAGGAAGAACACCUGUGGCGAAAGGCAG